CAGAAAAGCGGAAGACGACACGGCUCUCGUGAAACCGAAAGUAACUAAAAGUGCCAUUUUAAAACAUUUCACAUCGAGAAUGUCUUCGCAGGUUACGAUCUGAAAUCAAGUUUCAUGCCAGUGAAGAAAAAAAUAUGAACUGCCUGUAAAAUGAGUGUGUGUGAGGAGAGAGAGCAGGAGGCUCCUGGUGACACUCAAAGAGCAGCAUCUCCAGGAUUCAGGUCUGUGUCUAUAAAGAGUAACGACUCCAUGAAAAUAAUUCCUCCUGGUCUCAGCGAUGGACCUGCUGUGACCACUGAUUCUUCUCAGCAGAUAAUGAAUAAUACUUACACAGGUCUCAUCAGCAGGAAGAGGAAGAGAAAAGCGUCUUCAGUAUCCAACUUUGUGUCUACAAAAACCAACCCACAUACGUUCAGUAAUGGAGCAGCGUCCUUUAACCUUGUUAAGUAAGGAUUAUCAUGAGGCUGAUAAUAUAAUAUUAUGAGUCAAUUGAAAAUGAGGCUAGGUGGUAUACCAGAUCGUUUAUUUUUCUUAUUAUAAGAAUUAUCAAAAUACCGCAAUAAUGAAGCUGUAGAACUACAUGAACUCACACACGAGCGCCUCUUCAGCAAGUUUUAUUGCCUUUUUUUCUUAGAAUAUACAUACUGACAAACCUGUUUGUUACUAAACAGUGUGCUGUAUGAGACAAAAAGUAUGGUCAUAGCCAAAACCGCUACAUAGCCGCUCUUUAAUGUGUGCAUGCUGAUUUUAUGCCACUGUUACGAUCACUAAAUAUUUUAAAAAAAAUUCACACUAAAUAGUGUCCCGUUUCCGUGGUUUCGCGGGAAAGACUCGAGACUCGAAAUAAACUUAAAUAGAUUUAAUCCAAAAGUGGCAAAAAUAAAUACACAAAAGGCAGGUAGAACAAAAACCACGAAAGGAGCUCGGGAACAAAACAUGGAGUAACGUUGUAACUUUGAUGAUCUGACAACGUGCACACAAAACACAGGGCUUAAAUACACAAAAGGAAAUUAACGAGACACGGCUGAAGACAAUUAAACAAUUGAACACAA